rnacentral:rRNA from 1 species
CCCUUAGAUGUCCGGGGCCGCACGCGCGCUACACUGAAGGAAUCAGCGUGGCUUUCUCCCUGACCCGAAAGGGUUGGGAAACCCGUUGAAUCUCCUUCGUGAUAGGGAUUGGGGCUUGAAAUUGUUCCCCAUGAACGAGGAAUUCCCAGUAAGGGCGAGUCAUAAGCUCGCGUUGAUUACGUCCCUGCCCUUUGUACACACCGCCCGUCGCUACUACCGAUUGAACGGUUUAGUGAGGGCCUCGGAUUGGUCUCGGCCCGCUCUUUACCGGGCGGCGCCGUUGGUCGAGAAGACGCUCGAACUUGAUCGUUUAGAGGAAGUAAAAGUCGUAACA